AUUGAACGCUAGCGGGAUGCCUUACACAUGCAAGUCGAACGGCAGCACGGACUUCGGUCUGGUGGCGAGUGGCGAACGGGUGAGUAAUGUAUCGGAACGUGCCCAGUAGCGGGGGAUAACUACGCGAAAGCGUAGCUAAUACCGCAUACGCCCUACGGGGGAAAGAGGGGGAUCGAAAGACCUUGCCCUUUUGGAGCGGCCGAUAUCGGAUUAGCUAGUUGGUGGGGUAACGGCUCACCAAGGCGACGAUCCGUAGCUGGUUUGAGAGGACGACCAGCCACACUGGGACUGAGACACGGCCCAGACUCCUACGGGAGGCAGCAGUGGGGAAUUUUGGACAAUGGGGGAAACCCUGAUCCAGCCAUCCCGCGUGUGCGAUGAAGGCCUUCGGGUUGUAAAGCACUUUUGGCAGGAAAGAAACGUCGCGGGUUAAUACCUCGCGAAACUGACGGUACCUGCAGAAUAAGCACCGGCUAACUACGUG
rnacentral:rRNA from 1 species